GCGACAGCAUGUGGGGCCAACCAGUCACAUGGGUCAAAAAAUAGCACAAAGUCCUGGCAUAAAGACAAAGCUACACAGGAGUGGCUAAAAAACAUACCAAUGGGAUCAUUAAACACCUGGUAGAACAAAACACAACAGAAACUGCACACACCUUGUUUAUUUCUAAACCAAAAGACUACCAGUGGAAAAACACUUCCAGUUCCCCUGAUUGAUCACUGAAAUUGUUGUUCUUGAUUUCCUAUGGUAAUCUUCCUCUUUCUCAUUUUUUUCUAGCCUCCACAUCUCUUUUUCUGUAGACUGACAAUGGACUUCGUGAGCGAGAGUUCAGAGGAACAGUCCCAAUUAUGCAGUUGGCAAGCCUCCACAUCACUUUUUCUGUACUGACUGACAAUGGACUUCACGAGCGAGAGUUAAGAGGAACAGUCCCAAUUAUGCAGUUGGCAAGCCUCCACAUCACUUUUUCUGUACUGACUGACAAUGGACUUCACGAGCGAGAGUUAAGAGGAACAGUCCCAAUUAUGCAGUUGGCAAGGUAUAUUCACUGACGCGGGCAUCUUACAUACUCCCUUCCUGUGUAUUCUACAAGUUAUCUCUAGCCCUGAAUAUUUAGUGUUAUUUUAUUAUUAUGAACAUGUUAUAUUCCCGUGCCUUGUGAUCAGCCAGAGCUUCCUGAUAUUGUGUAGGAUUUUUUAAAAUAGUCACUAAAUUACGUAAAAAAAUAUUAUUAAAAUUGAAGAACAAAUUGCAAAAAAAAGACACUUACGCUCUGCCAGUCUGAUCCAGAUUAUCAUCAGUGACAUACACCACUGAUUUUAUGUUGCUAUCAUCUCCACCCUAUACAGCACAAACAACAGCGUUAUCAAACUUCUCUUGAGACGGUUUUACCUUCCGAGGGAGUUUGGUAGCGUUGUUGUUUGUGCUGUUUUCAGUCCCUCCUAAUAAGAAUACAGCAAGAGCAGCAGUCUGUUGCCAGACCCAGUCCCUUUGAUAUGACCCUUCUCAGUGUCUGUUUUUGUUAGUAACUACACAUGGCACAUAGAAAAGAUAUGCAAGACAUCAACUCUCUAGUGAAGUGUUGCUGCAGAGAUGCAUGGCUCAUGCGGGCAGUGUGCCUGCUCUGAUUUGUUAACAUGGGAAUAAAAAGCAAGACGUUCUGCCACACACACGCACUGCAUACACAGAGCUUAUGGCCAUGUUUAGCUAGUUAUCUGGGAUCAUGUUACUGUGGUGGAAGGAGUGAAAAAAAUCAUUUUGGAUCUCACCCCUGAUGUUAGCCACAUUGAACAAUCCUGUUCAUUAGAUUAGAUUAGAUUAG
rnacentral:lncRNA from 15 species